GAUGAACGCUGGCGGCGUGCCUAACACAUGCAAGUCGAGCGAUCUUCUUCGGAAGAGAGCGGCGGAUGGGUGAGUAACGCGUGGGUAACCUGCCCUGUACACACGGAUAACAUACCGAAAGGUAUGCUAAUACGAGAUAAUAUGCUUUUGUCGCAUGGUAGAAGUAUCAAAGCUUUUGCGGUACAGGAUGGACCCGCGUCUGAUUAGCUAGUUGGUAAGGUAACGGCUUACCAAGGCGACGAUCAGUAGCCGACCUGAGAGGGUGAUCGGCCACAUUGGAACUGAGACACGGUCCAAACUCCUACGGGAGGCAGCAGUGGGGAAUAUUGCACAAUGGGCGAAAGCCUGAUGCAGCAACGCCGCGUGAGCGAUGAAGGCCUUCGGGUCGUAAAGCUCUGUCCUCAAGGAAGAUAAUGACGGUACUUGAGGAGGAAGCCCCGGCUAACUACGUGCCAGCCGCCGCAGUAAGAC
rnacentral:rRNA from 1 species